GACGAACGCUGGCGGCGUGCCUAAUACAUGCAAGUUGAGCGCUGAAGGUUGGUACUUGUACCAACUGGAUGAGCAGCGAACGGGUGAGUAACGCGUGGGGAAUCUGCCUUUGAGCGGGGGACAACAUUUGGAAACGAAUGCUAAUACCGCAUAAAAACUUUAAACACAAGUUUUAAGUUUGAAAGAUGCAAUUACAUCACUCAAAGAUGAUCCCGCGUUGUAUUAGCUAGUUGGUGAGGUAAAGGCUCACCAAGGCGAUGAUACAUAGCCGACCUGAGAGGGUGAUCGGCCACAUUGGGACUGAGACACGGCCCAAACUCCUACGGGAGGCAGCAGUAGGGAAUCUUCGGCAAUGGACGAAAGUCUGACCGAGCAACGCCGCGUGAGUGAAGAAGGUUUUCGGAUCGUAAAACUCUGUUGGUAGAGAAGAACGUUGGUGAGAGUGGAAAGCUCAUCAAGUGACGGUAACUACCCAGAAGGGGACGGCUAACUACGU
rnacentral:rRNA from 1 species